AAACAUUCUUUAGUACAUUUCAACAUUGCAGAGAAUGUGGCCAUAAGAUCCAAUUUUAUUUAAUUGGAUGUAUGAAACUGUGCUGGGCAACACUGACCUGUGUAGGCAUGGAUACGGUAAUACAAACAUAUCAAAAGAAGAAAACACAGGGUUAGAAGUAGACUGGUAAAAAUAUAAUCAUUUUAUACAUUCAGAGAUUAUUGCUUUCCUUUGAAAAUUCUACUCACUAAACUUGCUUGUCAGAAAACCAACUGGCUUUUGUUCUGGGACUGACAAACCAGGUAGCAAUGUCCAGAUGGAUGCAAAACCCUGGAAUUUGUUAGAGAGGCUUAAGUAAGUCCCUUCUGGCUUCACUUCUACUGUCUUCCAUUCCUAGUGGCUAUGAGUCAGCUUGAUGUACAUCAUUUGUAUGGCUCCCCAGCCUCUAUUACAGGUUGUAAGACACUUGUGAACUCAUUUCUGUCUCUAAUGUAAGCUCUAGACUAUCACCAUUUAAGGACGUUUUAACAAGAAGAAAGUAAGGGCUCAUCUAGUAAUACAUUUUCUUUUCUUCUAGUGUCAGAAUGGAGAGACCAGAUAUAUUUGAGGAUAUUUAUUUGCUUUCGUUCUGCAUAGUUCUCAUAGCAUUUCUACAUACCACAUUUCCUUUUCUCUCUAUGGCUUCCCUUUCCCCUUGGGUAUAUGUACUCAUUUCUUAUAUUCCAUCCUUCCUGGUUAAGAGCUCACCUUUACAUCUGACCUUUUUCACCUCUUCUUCUUUCUCCCUUUAUCAAUACUCUGGUCAUUGAUAUCAUACAAUCUCACUGCUAUAAGCUCAGAUCAACUAGUUUUCUGCAGAUCACCUUUGUUUGUUGUCCUAUUUCAGCUAAAAGAAAACAACAGCAGCAGCAACAACAACAAAAACAAUGAAAAAGCAUCUUAUACAUUAGUUGCUAAUUUUACUCUCACCUCAGUUUCUAACUACUACUCACAACGGACUUUAUAAACUAGCACAGUUCAAUAAACAAAUAGAGAAGAGAAAAGACAUUUUUUAUGGUAUUUGGAAAAUAUUGAAAUCCAGGAAGUGUUUACAAUUAUCAAGUUAAAAAUGACAGUAAAAUCAGGGAAUUAGGAUCUAGGAUUACCUGGGCUCAUUGAUAUUUCAUAGUGAACAAUCUAUACUCUGAUAAAAAGGGGUAAAUAGGUAUAGAGAAAGAGUGGACAAUAUAAUCUGAAUGCUGUGUCUUUAUUCUCAUGCAAUAGAAUUUCAUAGCCUUUUGCAGGCAGGAUUCUUCCGCCAUUCUCAACCAUGAGGCAAGAGCUUUUGUUUUGCUUUAUUUUAUUUUAUUUUAUUUUAUUUUUGCCUUCAAAUAUAUUGAUCCAAAGCUCUAAACUUUUGUUUACAAGGAAAAGAAACAUCAAUACAAAAAUGGUGAGUUUCAAGCACAUGGUUGACACAUCUGAAAUUCAAUGUAGAACUCAACCUCAGCUACUUAUGUGUGAGAUGGGGUUAACUGGACCAGCCAGAGUGUCGAAGAGAUAGGAGGGUAUUUAAUACAAAUUCCUCUUAAAAACACUAUCAAUGUGGCAUGCCCCAAUAUGUCAACUUCUUUCCAAAUAACCUUUUGGAAAGAAAAACUAGUUUCUGAACUAAUGUGUGAUAAAAAUAGCACUAUGUGUUAACUUAUUUUUUUUAUGUUUGGUUAACACCCUAGCCAGAGUCAGGCAUCCAUAAUUCCUAUUUAUAGAUUUGAAUAGGAGUUUUAUCUUAUAAGGGCUUAGUAAUCUUGCUGAGGUGGGGGAUUGAGUUAAAUAUAUACUAUAUGCAUAUUAUAUGUGCAGGAUAUUUGUCUGAUUUUUAGAUUGCUUUUUGGCUUGAACAUUGAAAGCAUUUUGCAAAAUAGGAAUCUAGUUAGAGUGGAAAUUCUGGUUCUGAUCCUAAUCAUAUAUUUCGUUCAGUUUCUCAGACGUUUAGAUUUAUAAACUAUGAUUUACUUAUUGGUAAAAGCCUAAGAGACAUUGGAUCCAUCUCCAAAAUGCUUAGUGCUUUAUUGUCUAAUUUACUGUAUGAAAGUUCUUAUUUGGACAGUAAACACAUUUAGUUUAUAUGUUAAUUUAUAUCAUAGAUCAUCAUUUUUGAAAAAUGUCUGUGUCUAACUUCAUCCAAUGGCAUUUGCCAGCUUCUCUUCCCAGCACUUUGCAUUGAUGGGUGUCAUAUUCAUCAAACAGUAAGAUUCUAGAUCCACCCUUUUUCUUAUGGGAUAUAGACAUGUUGAGUCAAGUAAAGGGAUGCCUAAUGGGUGGGAGGGAAGGUCAGAGAGAGAGAGGAGAGAACACACAUCCAAAUUAAUAUGAUCAGGUUACAUUUACAAGUUUUAAUCAUUUUCAAGGGACGUGCAAAUUCACAGGUACAAAAAUACUCACAUUUAAAAAUAAAAGCCGAGGGAAAAAAGUUCCUUUAAAAUAUAACUUCUCUCAGUGGAAGUAAUUCUCUAGAAACAUAAGGUGCUGAGACAGCAAAUGUUUCCUCCUCAAACCCCUUUCUUUCUUUCUUCUUCUUUUUUCUUUCCCUUUUCUUAGUAUUUGUAGAUUUUCUUACAGAGAGGUUGGCUUAUGAGACAAUGAUUAGUGCAAACUUUGGAAUUUUUGUUCUCAUUAUGUCUUAGUUUGGGUUUUCUUGCUGUGAAGGAACAUCAAGACCACAGCAACACUUAGAAAGGAAGAUAUUGAGAGUAGCUUAACAGGGUUAGUCCAUUGUCAUCAUGGUGGGAAGCAAGACAGCCUAUAUGCCACCAGGGCUCAAGAGAUGAAGCCUAGAGGUCUACAUCUUGAUCAGCAAGCAGAAAGGAGAAACUCUGUGGUGCUGGCUAGCCUUGAGCAUAUCUGAGACCUCAAAGUCUGCUUUCACAGUGAUGCAGUUCCUCCAACAAGGCCACACCCACUCCAAGGAGGUCUCACCUUGUAAUAGUGCCACGCCCGAUGAGCCAAGCAUUCAAAUAAAUGAGUCUCUGGGGGACAUACAUACAUGAUGAUUUUUUUUAAUGGAAGGUUUCUUCAUUUUGAUUUUUUGUCAUUAUGAAAAUUGAUUGAAUUUUAAGCAAUACAAUCUUUAAAAGUCUUUUUAAAUCAGCUUCAUGGGGAUAGCCUAGUUGGUCAUCAAUGGGAGGAGAGGCCUUUGGUCCUGUGAAGGUUCUAUGCCCCAGUAUAGGGGAAAUGUCUGGGCCAGGAGGUGGGAGUUGGUGGAUUGUGGAGCAGGGGGAGGGGGAGAGGAUAGGGGAUUUUUGGAAGGGAAACUAGGAAAGGGGAUAACAUUGGAAAUGUAAAUAAAGAAAAUAUCUAAUAAAAAAAAGAAAUAUUUCAAUCCAAAAAAAAAGAAAGAAAGAAAGAAAGAAGGAAAGAAAGAAAGAAAGAAAGAAGGAAAGAAGGAAUGAAAGAAAGAAAGAAGGAAAGAAAGAAAGAAAGAAAGAAAGAAGGAAUGAAAGAAAGAAAGAAGGAAAGAAAGAAAGAAAGAAAGAAAGAAAGAAAGAAAGAAAGAAAGAAAGAAAGAAUCAGCUUCAUGCAGCACAGUGCUUGAUGUCUUCACUGUUAUAUGUUCAUUGUGCUAUCCAAGUCUUAGUUUUACUGCACCAUUCCAAAUGGACUAAGCAAGAUCAUUCCAGUUUGGGGUUAGUCUAAUUUCAAUUUGAGUCUCUUAUUCAUCCCACUAACAUUUCAGGAUAGUUUUCUAUGUUUCAAAGUAAAGAAACAGUAGUUGCAAAAUCAUAACAGAGUGUAAAACAUCUGUCACUGGCUGAGUAGAUCUGAAGUACAAUCCUCCUUUAAGACACAGUUUUAUUUCUUCUAAGAAAACAAGGGAGGGGUUUAGAGAAUAUGACCCAUUUUAUGUAAGUACAUAGAAGCAAUAUAAUUUAAAUACUCAUGUUUCUGAUCUAACAAUUAGCCACUUUCCUCUAUCAAUGGUUUUCCUGGAAAUUAUAGAGCUGUUUCUUCCCUGUACUCUUAGUGUAUGAAAACGUUCCAUCCCCUCCCCAUUUCCCAGGUCAAGUAUACAUAGACAUCUCCUUCCCCAAUCCACAAAUCAAGUCUAUACAGACAUCCCCCACCUCAUUCAAUAGGUCAAAGGUUAACUAUUUGUUCAUAUUAUUCAGCCUCAGAGAAAGUUCUCAUAGUCAUGAGUUAGUAUUUUUCCCUUGUGGUAGACAUAUGAUAUAAUUGACAAAGUGAGUGAUUAAUUUUUUUUCUAAUUGCCACAAUUUUUGUCUCCUCUGUCAUUGGAAUCAUAGGACACAUUGUUUCCCACUGUUUCACAUGUACACACAGAAAGGAACCAGACAGCAUCCCUUUCAUCUAAGACAGAGAGGGAAGAGAAGAAGAAUACAGCACCUAGUGAGAGCUUUACUUCUCACUUACAUUCCUUUCGUAGGACUUCUGCAAAGUUAAAGAACAUUAAAAUAUAUCACUAAUAUUUCUACUCAAUGCUGUUUAUAUGGAAUCUGAAUUAACUAAAGCACUUUCGGGCAGUAUGACAACAUCCCAGCUAUUUGUCAAUUAUAAAUGUUUGGGCUGCUGAACAAUAUGGUCAGAAGUAGAUUGGACUUGGUAGGUUCAUUAAUGUGCAUGCUCUAGCAAAAGCUGGUAAAGCCUUGGUACUAUACUUCUGCUGAUCCACGCUCUCUUUAAGAACAUAAGGGAAUGUGAAUUCAUGGAUCUUAAUAUUUGGCAGUGAGGAGUGUUGAUGAAAACAUAUCCGGCAAUAUGCAGGAGGACUGUUAGAUAACAGACUCUGCACACAAUAUAAUUAGACACGCUGAACUUUCUUUUGCAUGCACAACAGCCUGUGCUAAAGCUCUCUGUAAAUCACGCACACGAGUGGUACUAUACUACACUUCAUAGAACAUCUUCGGGCUGAAGAAGACAAAUAUGAGGGGUUCUGAUUAAAUAUUUGCUCAGAAAACACCCUUUGAUAAUAUACUGCCAAUUCCCUACCUUGGGUAAAUAGCAUCCUCCUCUCCCAAGGUAAGUAAGUAGGUCUUUGCUAUAUUAGAUUUUAUUUACAAAAAGGAACUCUGGUCACAAAACACACAGCGGUAUGUGAAGAGUUUGGCCCAGAUUACUGCAAAGCAUUGUCAGUAUGACCUUUGGCAAGGACCCAGUAGAAAAGCAAUUUUCCCAAAGGAAAACCAGCAUCUUUUUUUCCUUAAUCCUGUUAGCAGGAUGUGACGCUGAUGCAAAGUAGCAUGCUUCCAGGAUCUAUACACAGGUUGCAUCAUUUUGCAUGCUCUUCUGAAAGAUGAAUGUCAGGUGUUUCUGUGCACACAGGAGUCACCAAAAUGUUUCUACACAAAUGCUAAAUACCUUACCUAGUGACCUUGUGAUGUCUCAACCCUUUUGGGACAUAUCAUCUAUUUCUUGAGGUCAGCUAACAGAAACUAAAAGCCUUAGGACUAUGCGUUCUGAGUGUUCCUCUGAAGGAUGACUAGAGGGACUGUGUUAUCAAUCCUACCUUCAAUAUUCAUUGUAUUCUAGAUGCCAGUUCCAGAAACAGCAGCCUAAUGUUGUUUUAUAGCUGAGUCCAAACAUAAAGACCGCAGGCUUUCCCAAGCAUACAGGGGACAUGUUCAGUAGUUUCAAGGACAAUAUUUUAAGGAGACAAAUGCUCUGGGUAAUUGUGCUGAAAACUGCUUUCUAGCCCAUUUCAUGGCUGCUCUACCUAGCUUAGUUUCUCUCUCCUUUCAGUUCAUAUAUCUGCCAUUGCCUUCUCUUAUCCAUCAUUACUUUUCUCCCUUAUAUAUUCUCUGGAAUCAUUUGUAAGGUCAUAUGACUGAUCAGUAGUCUUAGUAGACUGGUAUCGGGCUAUGGGGAUAUAGAAUAGCAGCACCAAACUUGUAAUCACAUUAAUGGAAAGCUUAAGCUGAUUAAAUCUCAACUGGACCUGUAUAGCUCUUCAUAGCAAAAUUUCUUGUACCAUCUUAGUUGUCCUUUUAAACAGAGCUCAAGUUUAAUAAAUGAUUUAUAAAUGGAAUAAAUAAACAUUCAAUAGAAAAGCACAGACCAGAAAUGGUAUCAUUUUAAAAAUAAUGUCUCAGAGACAUCAUGAGGCAACCUGUAAUUUUUUUCUUCAGUAUGUUAAAAUAUAAUUUGAAUAGCGGAUAUCUUUGGCAAUAAUGUUGAGACUCAAAAAUUACUUAUACUUAGUCUUGAGAGUUAUUCUUGCUGUCUUUUUAAGGAAUCCUACUAAUAUAAUGAAUCAUAGAAAGUAGUUUUAUUUCUAGUUAAAGGUCCUUCCCACAUUUACUAUAAAACAUUCCAUGAAGUUCUAUAUACUUAUUUAUUUGGGUAUAGGUGAGAUUUGUAUAUAUACUUGCUUUCCCCCUUAUUUCAACAUCUCUUUCUUUAAAUUCUUCCAUUCUCUACUUAAAAUCCAAUCUUGUGAUGUUACUAGUCAGCCUCUCAGACUCAUUGGUAUGCAAUGGUAGUGUCCAUUUAAACAGCUCCACCCUUCUUACGCUCAAACUUCACAGGUUGAUAAUCCGUUCUUGACUGCAACGAUUAGUCUCAGAACUAAGCAAAGCAGUGCAUGCUGUGUGUAUUUAGAGACAGGAAACUCAAUCAGAACCGUUGAAGUAAAUGUGAAGUAUGUUUUGAAAACUUCCCAGACUUCUGAGAAAGAGAUAUUUUUCUUCCCUCAAAGGGAUUAAAAUACUAGGAUAUUCAUGGCCUGAUGCUACAGUAGUCAUCUCACAAUCUUAGGUGAUAUAUUGGGAAUAUAUGUAUAUGAAGAAUAUCCUUGCAAAAAGAGUCAGUAAAAAGCAAUAAACAUGAUAAAAGGCAUCACCUUCCCACAGAACAUAGCUUUUCCACUGUAUUCUUCACUAAUAUGAACCAAUAAACUUCCAGAUUUUCCAAUAUAAAAAACAACAACAACAACAACAACAAAGAUUGUAACUGGCUCCAAAUCAAUAUUCCUUGAGGUCUUUGAAGGUAAGUGUUUUAACUAGGUAGCUCAGGCUUGUUCUCUCAGGCACUCACAGCUGUUGUGAGCCUCCACCGUCACUGCUUGGUGAGAAGGAGUGGGAUGCAUAGAAUGUGAUGUAGCAGCUUGUUUUUACCUCCAUGCUGAACUUAUGAUGGACUCCAUCUUUCCUUUAAGAAGGAAGGACUCUCAGGACCUCAACACAAAUAAAGGACGUGAUCUUCCAGCACAUAAUAUGUGCCUCAUCAACUUCUUAUGAAUGAGAAGCCCUCAAAGAUUUUUCAGGAGGUGAGAAAAUGGCACUUAGCUUAUACUUGUUUCUCUACAAAUGUUCCCCCUUUUGUUUUCUUAAACCUACUCUGGUCAUUUAACCCUUUUUGUUUCUGCCUAACUGCUUUAUUGUAUCCUGUCUAUUAUCUAUUGCUUUGAAAAGAGCCCCUCAUGUAGGAAUGGGUUUAAUUUCAUCUUCUGCUUCCUAGCUUGCUUAGCCUUCUUUCUUAUAAAACCCAGACCUACCUGCCUAGAGGUGGUACUACCCACAGAGGUAGUGGGCGGGACCCUUCCAUAUCAAUCAACUAGUUUGCAGUCCAAUAUGAACAAUUAUUCUCAACUGAGUUUGCUUCUCCCCAGAUGGCCCAAGCUUGUAUUAUAUGGAGCUAAUCAGAACAUACUAAAACAAAUUCAGCAAACUAUUGAUGUUUUAGUCGGAUUUUAUGAAUGGCUUCAUGGUUGGUGUUCACCUUAGGAUGUGUAUGUUCUGACAUCCACCCUUCAAAUUAGCCCAGGAUAUUCACCUAUGCAAACUUAAACUGUACUUAUCCAUCUCUUUGUCCAUAGCAUAAGCUCCACCCCAUUUUCGAUGUUAUAAAAGCAAUGUAAGGAAAUGUCUGACAAGAUCGGAUGAGGGCUUGGCAGUAAAGAUAGUUCCAUCACUAAACCAGAGCUGGUGAUGAAGUGGCUAAAUGAGGUCCAGAUAUUUUCAUAGUUUCAUAACAAAAUAUUUUCAUAUUUUCUAAAUCUCUCAGAAAGAUUUAGAAGGGAGAUCUGAACAUCUUUGUCUGGUCAGCUACAAGUAAUGAGGAAGAUGAAUUCAAAUGCUGGCACAAUCAUACAACCUAUUAGACCAGUGGUUCUCAGGCUGUGGGUUGUGAGCCUUUGGCAAACCUUUCUCCAAAAAUAUUUACAUUACAAUUCAGAACAAGAGCAAAAUCGCAGUUAUUAAUUAGUAAUGAAAGCAAUGUCAUGGUUGUGGGUCACCACAACAUGAAAAACUGUAUUAAAAAGGUCACAGCAUUACGAAGGUUGAGAAUCACUGUAUUGGGCUGCAUAUUUGGCGCCAACUCUGAGAUGGCUUCCUUUUUCAAAAUCAGGUAACUAUGCCUACCUAUUAAUUAAAUAUAUGUUUUGAAAAAACAUAACUAAAAUUAUUUUCGGGGUACAUUAUAUAUGUUGAUUAGAAUAGUCAAAAAUUAUUUUUAUGGAAUUUAGAUUUUACUUUAAUAACAUAGUUAAAUGAAUUCAAAUCCUGUUUCUAGCAAAUGAUAAAGUCUAACACAUGGUAUCCAAGGUGAGCUCUCUGUCCAAUUAGGGCAUUCCUAUCUUUUUACUCUCUUAUAAAUUUUUAUGAUUCUUAGCGAUUUUUGAAAAUUAUAAGUAGGGAUGAUAAAGCUUUGAAAUGAGCCAGAACAUAGUCCAAACAAGCCAAAACACCAUUAGAGUAAAAUACUGGGAGCUAAUUUGAAUAGUUUUGUUUCAAGGUAAAUAAAAAAGGAGUUAGUUAUUUUUGUUUGUUUGUUUGUUUUUUCUUUUUCCAGCUGUAAGUGUCUUGGUCUUUCUUGACUGUCCUAUCUGUAUCUGUAAGACACUCUCACAUAACAUGCUCUGGACUUCUGAUUCUUACAGUCACUCUGCUCAUCUUCUUUUGCCAAUUAUUUUCUCAGAGCCUGAGGUGUAAGAGUUGAAGUGUAUGUGUAGAAACUGGCUUUGGGCAACACACAAUUACUCAUUCUCUCUAUCACAGCAUCACUGUAAUACUCUGUAACUGAUAUGAAAGGAAGCUUCUAGGAUGAGUAGUAAAAGUUACAUUUCACUGUGGGUAUAAGGAUAAGUAUUUAGGCUACAGAAAAUAUAUUGCUUUAGAAAACUAGCAAGAUUAAGUUCUCCUCUCGAUCUAUGACCUCUCAGGGAAGGGUGGUUAGCAAGGUUUAUAGUAUCAGGCAUGAAUUGCCACUUAUGGAGCAGGACGUAGGACCAAUUAGGAAGUUAUUGGUUACCUCCACGGUAAAAGUGCCACUACUGGACCAUUGGGGGCCAUCUUUCUGUUCUGGUCAUUCUCAUGGUUCUCUCGUGAUCUAUAUCAUUAUGUAGGACUAUUGAUUGCUUUUCUCCACUGGCAGCUUGGACAAUAACUUCUAGAACCUAGAGGCCUAGUUCUCAGUAAGGAGACUUCCAGAUAAGUAUUAUCACCCCAGGGGACAAUAACACAAAGCAAGAUGGAAGAAAAAGGAGAGAAAAAUCACUAAGGAUAUCUUUAGGAAAAAAAAAAAAACACCUUAGACAAACAUAUUAUUUCGUAAGCUUACUCAAAAAUACAGGCAUGUGUUGUGGUAAAUCUCCUCCUGAAUAUGCCCCAACAAUGAAAACACAACAGUUAAUAUGAUUACAAGCUGUGUGCCUAGAUUGGGCAGAUCUACUGCUACACUACCAUCUUCCACAGUUUAUGAGACCCCUUAGAACUUGUGAUUUCUCCAGGCCAUGUGCUCCUGCUCUGCUUUUCUUCAUCUCCCUCUUCCAUUUUCUCCUCCUUCUCUCUCCCUACCUUCUGAUCCACCUUCCCUUUUAUCUGCCCAAUCAUCAGCUCUCCUUAUUUUACAAAUUAAGGUGGGAAGCAGGUUUACAGGAAAUCACCUGAGUGCUGACUCAGUGUUCGCAACCACUCACAGGAGAAUGGAAUUAACAUCAAAUAUAAUUAGCCCCAGGGUUAUCUACAACAGGCAUGUGUAUACAUGAGAAGUUAGAUAGAUAUGCACUGUUAAAAUAGAUUUACAAUACAUGGCUAACAGUGUUCACUCCAACAGCCAUAGAUUAUUUAACAAAAUCGAAAUUGCCAGACAUGAAAAAAAUCACCCUUUGAGUUGUUGAUCACAUGAGUCCAAGACUACCCAAAUAAUAUAAACUAUUUCCAUUGCUUUUGGUUGCCUCCCAAAACUUGAAGGUAAAAUUUUCUUGAUUGAACUCUUUCAAGAUAGUCUUGGUUUUUUUUUUUUUUAGUAGACUAUUUUUGAAAACUCAUCAGGAUAAUAUAUUUCAGAAUAUAUCCCACCCUCAUUCAGUGUUGUCAUCUCCCUUGCCUUGGUAUGCGUUUCUGUAAUUCACUAUAAUCUAUAACUAGCUCUUCCUGUCCAAAGGUCAGAUUCAUUGUUUGAUAAAGGAAAAUCAGGCUAUAAUAACCCAUACCUACCAGCUAUGAAUAGUAUCCAGUGACUAUGCUAUAUGUUUUGUGUGGAAUUGCAGUUCUUACCAUUAUCCUUAUAUGGUCUUGUCUCUGACUGACUCUCAUACAUCAGAUUAUGUCAAUCCACUCCUUCCCCAUCAGCUCCCAGAUGUAACACCCUGAUCAUUUUAUGGUCUCUCUCUCUCUCUCUCUCUCUCUCUCUCUCUCUCUCUCUCUCUCUCUCUCACUCUCUCUCUCUCUCCCUGUCAGCUUUGGCAUAGCCCUUUGCUUAAAAGUUUGCCAACCACCUUCUUUAUAUUUGCAUUGCUUGGUCUUUCUUAGUUCAAACUACAUCAGACACUUGUUUAUCAAUAAUCACUCUGAUACUGCCCUAUUUUAAUUCUUUUAUCACUAGUAAGCACAGGACAGGUUCAUCUUCCUCAUCUUGUUCCUAAGGUGAUUGAACAGGAAACCCCAUAGGAGGCACUCAACAGACAUUUUUCUGAGUUAAUGUAUAAACUGUAUAAAAUUUAUAAUUUUUUGGACACACUCAUUAACAUUUAUUGCUAAAAAUCCACUGACUUCUCAAUAACUGUUUAAGAGUGCUGCUGAUAUACUGUUAAUUGUUAUGAGGCACUAUAGCCAUAUGGAGAACAUUUAGCAUAUACAUUACCACUGUGAAUUUUCCAUUUGGUCUAUAUAACAACUUUUAGGGGGUGCCAUUUUUAUGUUAAUAACUGUUUAUAGCUUAAGGAACUAAAACUCAGAGAAACUAAAUUCAUUACUGAACAACUCAUCUUUUAGCUGAGGGGAAGAUUCCAGUCUGAUGGAUGCUACAAUCGAUGUCCUUAAUCUGACAGGCUUCCCCAUCUGCUUAACUUCUGAUAUCAGCUGUCCAUGGACAUGUGACUAAAGGUAAAAUGCAUUAACACUGAUAUCCUUAAGAAAGCAGUCACUGAGUACUAUAUAUAAGGCAUUAUCUGUGCUAAUUAUUCAAAUCCAUGUGAAGAUGGUGAUCUUCUGUUGUUCAGAUGAGAUCUUGGCUCAGAGAAGUCAGGUGGAAUUUGAACCUAACUUGGUCUGACUUGGAGUUGAACUGUUUAAUGACUGUGGAAUGGUAUUUCCCUGACCCAGAGAAUGAUGGGAUCACAUGCCAAGUCACAGAUUACAGAAACCAGCAGCCUGGGUCUCUGCUACAAGCUGGGUGCAGUCCUCCUGAAUGGCCACUACAUUCAUCUUGGUCAAAUGACAGAUGUAUUGUGUCUUUAACUAUGGAAACCAGUAAUCACUGUGCUGGCUGACCACCAACUCUCUGUCAAGAGCGGAAAAACAACCAGAAGCCCAGUCUUUCAUUAUUACAUUAGCAGUACCUCCUUCAUUUAUUUUAUAAGCAAUAAACUGUGCCUGUCUGGUGUUUCAUUUAGGAAGUUUCAAAUGAGAUUGAAGAUAAUGCAUCCUAUAAUUUCUCAUCCUUCCCUGGUCCACAGGCUCAGGCAGACUGAUCUCAGGGUGAAAUUUGGACUCCCUUGAUUGAUGAGACUAAUAAAGUGCCUUUAUUGUGAUAUAAAUAGCCUUAAAAAUGUCCUACAGAGUCAAUAUUGGUGUUUGAUGGCCUUACACAAGCAAGGUCCUUAUCUUCAGGAGCACUAAAGCUUAAUGAGUUACGGUUUUUGAGAAAGUUUGGCAUUGAAUUUGGGUGCUGAUUUGUGGGGUUACAUGGUGGCAAGAAUCCCACUAAUGACAUGGAGGGAGAACAAUUUCAAAACUACCCAUUUCUUUCAUACUCCUAAUAGAUCAAUAUAUUUUCUACCUCUAGACAUGAAGCUUUGGUAAGAGAAUGAGGCAUGUGAAGAACAAUUUACAGUCUCUGGUUCAGCCAGACCUUAGAGUGUUUCCUUCCCUUCUCUUUGGCUGUAGCAGAAUAGUAUAAAGUCUUCUUAGAAGGUAAGAGUGUACUUUCAAGUACAAUAACAAAGUGUUAGAACGCUAAUACUGCAAAGACCCUGGGUUUGGCUGCCAUUGUUGAACUAAACUUACCACUUUUGAGUAUUGAAAAUGUCAUAAAUCAAAGGUUAUGGCUCUUUCAAAGCACAAUUUCUUUAGAUCAUUGGUUCUGUUAACUCUAUGCCCCAUGCAGUUCCAAAGGGUGCUUAAAUAUUGUCCUUCGCAUUUAUUUCCCUUUCUUGACAACAUUCAACAAUUGUAUGUGGGUAAUCUCUGCUUGUUCACCUACAUGCUUUUGACAGUGGAUGUUCUCCAUAUGUCUCUUUCUUCAUAGAAAACGGAUCAGAAGAUUCCAUUUGAAAUAUGAUUACGGUUUUGUGAUCAAGACUCAGACUUAGUAGCUCAUUAGUUUCUUGUGGACAUUUAUAACAAAUGACCACAGACUCGGUCAUCUAAUCAACAGAAUUUUCUCCAGGGAUUUUGAAGACAGAAAUUGAAGGUUAAAGUUAUUGACGAGGCUCUGAAGGUCUUAAGGAAGAACCUUUCCUCCCUGGCUCCUCUUGAUUCUAGUGGUAGCUGAUAAUCAUUCAGUUUCUGAUAACUGUGCUCCUCCAAACUCACUCUCUCUCUCUCUCUCUCUCUCUCUCUCUCUCUCUCUCUCUCUCUCUCUCUCCAGGUAGUUUUUUUUUCUAUUUUUGGGAGGAGUGGGGAAUUGUUAUCAAUAUAUUUAUUUAUAGAUUCAAUGUAAUCAACUCAAAUAUACUGAGGAUAUUCUUUUGUUAGAAAGCAGUAUGGUGAUAGAUACUGAUACGAGAAUUAUCAAAAAAUCUAAGUCUUUAAUUAGUUAGUUAUAAAAGCUACAUAUAUAUUAGGACUUUUCAUCUCCAAGAAGUUACAUUUGAUACAAGAAGCCUCUGAGAAAUAGUCAAAAUCAUUUUUUAUGCUGAGAAAAAAAAUACAGCGCAAGGUUUUAAAUGAUCUUUACCUUUAUGGCAGCCUCAGUCAAUCAAUUUUAUUGUAAAAUUAUUGAUUGAUCUUACUGAAGUGUGAAUUAGAAACCUUUAAUAAGCAUAAAAUAAAUUAUAUCAUACAGGGGAAAACCUCAUACUUCAUGUUAAAGAUGAUCAAGCUUGCAUUAUCCUAGAUGAGAAUGCCCUUAUAAAAUGACAGUGGAAACCCACAAAAGCAGGGGUCUACAUUUUUUGCCUGACUAUAAACAAAUUCUCCCAGCCCUUUUCAAGCAAGGAUCUUAAAGGAACCAAGAUAAAACUAGGAAAAUAUUCUCAAAGCAAGAACAUUGGAAAACAGAGUCUGACCAUUCUAAUAAAGGAGUUGGCUGCAGAGAGCAGUUCCUUGCACAGGAAUUACCCAGGGAUCUUGUUAAAAAGCAGAUUCACUGCAGUAGUUCAGUAGUAGGUCCUGAGAUGCCAUAACUUUAACAAGCCUUCAAGUGAUGACAAGGACCACACUUUGAGUAGCAAAAGUGUAGAGGAUCAGCAGGGCUGAAAAAUAAUUAUUAAGUCAGGCAGGUUAAAGAUUUCAUGGCUUUCAUUACUCAGCACUCGCCGAUCUCCUCCUGUACCAUCCAUGAAUGUAAAUACAAACACAGGCAUCCUCCUGGUUGCUCUUAGUCACAUGUGGAUUGGUUGUUGCUAUAGCAUUAAGCAUCAAUCUUCCAUUUCAAACAAUAUUAGGGAAAUCAUAAUGCAUUGCUUUAUAAAUAGGAAAAAGUCAAUAUUUAUAAGUAGAAAAAAGUCAGUCGGCCUUUACUAUUUUCUCUAAAUGGAUGGUGCAGGGACCUCUCAGCAGGCAGAGUACCAUUCACCUCCAGGCGUGUUCUCUCAGCGAUGUCAUUGCUGUUCAGCUCUUGCUGGGAUUUUAGAGCCUACAAUCAAGAGUAUCAUCCCAAUUCUUAAUAGAUGGAGUGGUGAGCCAAGUUUGCUCAUGAAAGGAAAGCAAAGCACUCUGAGGAAACAUAUUUGAUUUAUAAGAAAUCCAUAGGCUUGUAUCAUUUAAUUUAUUUAAUUUCAUGCAUUGCCACAGUAAUUUUCUGGAUUAAUGAUAAGUUUAAAUGCUGAAGUUUUACUUAUUUCGAUUUCCCCUUGUUCCUCCUCCCUCUCUUCCUUUUGAACCUCUAUAUAGUCUUUCAUUUAGGCUUGAGUUAAAAUGGAGGAAUUCUGAGGCAGAUGGUAGCCAGGGUGAUUUAUUCAUGUUAUUGCUGAGUCCUUUUCUACGAGUAUGCUGGAGACUGAACUGAUUCCUAUGACAGUAAUCCAGAUGUAUCAGAACUAGAAAAGCAUAUUAAACAUCAUAUACAACAUGUAUAUACUAUACAUAUUAUUAGGAGACUAUUUAAAGUGCUGGGUAGCAAUGAGUCUGUUAUACUCCACUGAACUUGGAUGAUGGCAAUGGCUUCCUUAUGUGUUCCAGACUUGAGGGGGUAAAGGUUUUCUCAUUUUUAUUUUGUUUGAUUUUCUUUUUAGUUUAAAUUACUUUUAGCUAGUAAAUUUUCACAAAGGGCUGCAAUUAUGUACUAUAACAGGCAAAAUCCCUAAUAUUAAUUAAUGGUUUUGAACAGAUGACUGUUCACCUUCAAACUUACAUGAUCAGAAACAUAUAAAACCACAAAAUAUCCAAGCUGGUAUCAGACAUAAAUAUUUACCAAUUUCUUAGAAGACCGAGGGUUCUGAAGCCAACACAGGUGCAAUGUUCAUUUCAGAAAACCAACAACAGUGACUGUAAGUAUCAUAGCCAAGUCUUCUGGCAUAAAGACCAAGUUCGGUCUCCAUACUCUCAAGUGUAUCUCUUUACCCUCGAAGGAGAUAGGAUGCUGAAAUGUUUGAAUUUGCUAUAUUGUCAAUGAUCAAAUCAGCUAUCUGGUUGCCAAACAGAUGCUGCAGGAUUUAAAUAUACAACUGUGUUGCUGAAGUGAUUCAUUACCACUACUGCACAGGCCUCUGUGCUCUUCGCAAAAGAUAUUCAAAUCAAUAAAUUGCAAUGCAUAUGGUACCUAUAUUUAGACCUAUAAUGCUUCUCAUGGUUCCUAUCUUGGAGAAUGGAAAAAGAUAGAGGAAGAGACAAAAAAAGUGCUUUCUGUCCCUUAGUUCGGCCUUAUCUGACUCAUUAGACUAUGGAUAGGGUCACAUCAUUUCUACAGAGGGUUUCUAGGGGAUACAACAUCUUGCCUGUGGGGUUUUUUUUUCAAAGACUCUUUUUUCUUUCACAGUGGAAAAGGGCAUUGUAGCAUCAGAGAGAUGCUUUAAUCAGUCUAAAACAUUACCAAGUUCUUGCUGGAUACAAAUGCAUGUGAAAGAAUACUGGAGGAAGGCAGACAAUGGAUCUGGGAACAUCAGGUUGGAAUAUCUCAGAAUGAGAAUUGAUCUUAAGUCACAGAAUCUUAAGAUCUCAUGGGAUGGCAGAAAGGGCUUGUGUGUUUCUCCUUCUUAACUAUUCGUGUUAAAUAAACAUGUGCUGUUUAAUCUCUUAGAUUAAACACCUGACAUGGACUUCAAUCAACAUGAGAAAAAGCCAAGUGCUAUAACUCUAACCCACCACCAGAUUCCAGGUGGAGGAAAGAAGAGUCCCGAUGCCACUGAAUGACUGCAGCAGCUCAACCAUUGCACUUGUGAGUCCUCCUACAAUCACGGAGGUCAGCCCAGGUUAUAUGAGAUGCUCAAGACUUGCAUCAUUGCACUUCUGUCUGGUUCUCCUGGACACAGUGUCUGAGACACUAGAUUCUACUGUAAGAGAUCUGGAGUUGUAAUAGCCUUUCUGAGUUGUACCGACUGUAGGUAAGGGGUGCUUUUAAUGGCUGAUUUGGAUUUUGAGAAUUUAAAUAAUCAGAGCAUGGAUACUGAUAAUUUUAAGAGUCCUUUCAUCCAUUCCAAGAAUUUAAACACUGCUGAUCUUAGCAUGAAGCUAAAGGUUUACUUUAUGGGUAUUUAUAUAAAUCAUAAUUCUCAUGCAAUGAAUAAAUACCACCCUAGGAAUGUUCUACUUUGGCAGACCCAGAAGUUAGAUAUAGGCUUUAAGUUAAAAAAAAAUUGUUCUGCCUUUGUUAUGAUGACCAUGUCCUCUUUGUUUCAGCCUAAAUGACAUCAGUUUGUGCUUUGUACCUCUAACAACAUAAAGGUCAUGUUAUUCAACAAAAAUUUAUUCAAUGUCCUGGCAGAUUCAAUUGCUAGACUUCCUGCCUAUCAUAGCUAUUAGUUAUUCCCCUCAAUAUGUAUUCAUUCUGACAAAGGCCAUGUUAAGCAGUCAUACAGUAGGGAAAAAAAAAAAAAAACAACCCAACAUCAGGGUCUGUUAAAUGGAAUCCAAUUUAAGUGUUCUUUUACUAAGAACUACAACAUCACAAUGAGUAGUCCAUAAUUUCAGGAAUGUGUCCUCCAUACAACCAUUCAUAUAUUAUCAAUAGAGAGGAGUUUCUGAUGAGGAAACCUUUCAUAUAGCUCAAAGUUCAGCAUUAUAUAAUUAUAGUAUAGAAGGUUCAUUAUUGCUUGUACAGCGUAGAUGGCAUUUACGCACAGAGGGCAUGCUUAUGCACCAAGUGUUCUUUGUUUCUUCUUCAUUAUCUGUGAACUUUGAGCAGGAAUGAGUUUUAACACACACACACACUAACACACACAUGAUAUAUAAUUAUAAUCUAUAUGCUAGUAUAAUUAAUAUAAUAUAAUAUAAUAUAUUCUCUGCGUGUAUAGCUCAGAAAUAAUUCUUUAUUUUGUCUAAAAUCAAUCUUUUUCUUGCUGUCAGUUUUCAAGUGGAGGAAAUAAACUUAUUUUAUGCUCUUACAGUUCUAGCUUUCCACUCUGUUUUAAUGAUUGCUCUUAUUUUACUUUUCAGGGUUAUCUUUCUUUUCUUUUCUUGUUCUUAUCUUCUUUAUUUGAUCAACAACCUGCUUAGGUUUUUCUAUUUUAUUAGCUUUUGCAAAGAACUGUCUCUGAACUUUGCUGAUCUUGUCUGCAACAUUCUCUCUCAUUUUAUGAAGUUGAUGAAUUAACAUGGUUUCCAUUCACGACUUUCAGAAUUUAAUAUGUAGCUCAUCAAUUUUCACCCUUGCUUCCUUAAACCAUAUGUAUUCAUAAUACAUGGCAAAACUUUCUUUAAAAAAGUACUUUAGCUGAAUCUUAAGACAUUCACUAUGUCGCCUUCUCUAAAAGUUAAAAAUUAUUGGAAUUUUUAUUAUAAACUCUUUCUGCUCUACUGCAUUAUUUAUUCAAUAAUAUGCUUUCUGGCUUCCUUGAAUAUCAAAUUUGGAAAUGGAGAAGUCACUGUAUUGUUAUCAGAGCUACUUUUGAUGCUCUAUAUGGGGCCAGCAUUUAACCAAAUUUUAUGGUUAUUUUAUCAUCAAGUUGAAGAUAGCAAUCCACUGUCUUUUAGUCUAUAUUGGUGCUGACAAGUCUCCUUCCAAUAAAUUUAUAUUUUUUAUUAAGCAUUUUCUUCUUUUGCUAAUUACUUUUGGGGAAAUGAUCUUUUCUUGAGUGUCCUUCAGUUUCAGCAUAAUGAAGCUUGGUACAACUUUAUUUUCAUUGUUUCUACAUAUACUUUAGAUAUUAAAAUGCCUAUUAUUCCUUAGUAUUUUUGUCUAUUAUUUCUUAGAAUUUUUAUUUUUCUUCCCUCUUCCAUUUCUUUGGAGAGGGGUUGCUAAAACCCCUAUUAGAUUAGUUUGGGAUUCUUUAGUUUGCAUUUGUCAAGAUUCUCCAUUAAAAAGGUGAAGGAGAUGAAGACAGAAUAUGUAUAUACACAAUCACACAGACACACACAUGCACACAGACAAAACACACAAAGACACAUACAUGUGCACAAACAUAGGGGUAGGGCAUGUCAGGUUGGUGCUUAGAGGCUUCCCCACACUCAUGAAGAUCCUGGCAAAUAUGAAGUUAACAGAGCAGACCACUAACGAGAAUUUCUAACAGCUACUGGUCUUACAGCUAUAAAUCCAGAAGGAAACUGGAGAAAAAAAAGAAAAUUCCUCCAAUUUUGGGUUAGUUAACACCUUCUAUUUUCUUAAGGCCUAAAUUACUCAGAGGACCCCCAAACACACCACUGAAGGCAAUUUGUCUUAGUAAAAUAUAGGGAUCUCCGUAUUAGUUUUAUCUGAAAACACAAUUUGGCAGAAUACGUAUAGUUACUUAAUAAAGAAGUUGGGUGUGAUAGCUUAGCCAAUAUAAUACUGUAAAAACCAACAAUCAAUCCCUUAUGGAGUCCCCAUAAAUCAGCAGCCAUAGGUUUUCUGUUUUAUAACAUAUAUUAGAAUACCUUGAACUAGUAAUCAAUAUUUAACAUUCAAUA